GAGGAAAAGAAACUAACAAGGAUUCCCCUAGUAACUGCGAGUGAAGCGGGAAAAGCUCAAAUUUAAAAUCUGGCAGUCUCUGGCUGUCCGAGUUGUAAUCUAGAGAAGUGUUGCCCGCGCUGGACCGUGUACAAGUCUCCUGGGAUGGAGCGUCAUAGAGGGUGAGAAUCCCGUCUCUGACACGGACUACCAGGGCUUUGUGGUACGCUCUCAAAGAGUCGAGUUGUUUGGGAAUGCAGCUCAAAAUGGGUGGUAAAUUCCAUCUAAAGCUAAAUAUUGGCGAGAGACCGAUAGCGAACAAGUACCGUGAGGGAAAGAUGAAAAGAACUUUGGAAAGAGAGUUAAACAGUACGUGAAAUUGCUGAAAGGGAAACGCUUGAAGUCAGUCGCGUUGACUGGGGAUCAGCCUCGCUCUUUUGCGUGGUGUACUUCCUGAUUGACGGGUCAGCAUCAGUUUUGACCGCCGGAAAAAGACUUGAGGAAUGUGGCAGCUCCGGCUGUGUUAUAGCCUCUUGUCACAUACAGUGGUUGGGAUUGAGGAACUCAGCACGCCGCAAGGCCGGGUUUCGACCACGAUCGUGCUUAGGAUGCUGGCAUAAUGGCUUUAAGCGACCCGUCUUGAAAC
rnacentral:rRNA from 1 species